rnacentral:rRNA from 1 species
UACGGGGGGGGGCAAGCGUUGUUCGGAAUUACUGGGCGUAAAGGGCCAGUAGGCGGCCAACUAAGUCACACGUGAAAUCCCCAGGCUUAACCUGGGAACUGCGUGUGAUACUGGAUGGCUUGAAUUCGGGAGAGGGAUGCAGAAUUCCAGGUGUAGCGGUGAAAUGCGUAGAUAUCUGGAGGAAUACCGGUGGCGAAGGCGGCAUCCUGGACCGAGAUUGACGCUGAACGGCGAAAGCUAGGGGAGCAAACGGG